rnacentral:tRNA from 2 species
GCCGACGUGGCUCAGUGGUAGAGCAUCUUCUUGGUAAGAAGAAGGCCAUGGGUUCAAUUCCCAUCGUCGGCUCAA